UACAGAGGGUGCGAGCGUUGUCCGGAAUCACUGGGCGUAAAGGGCGCGUAGGCGGCUUGUGAAGCGUGCGGUGAAAGCUCGGGGCUCAACCCCGAGUCGGCCGUGCGAACUGGCAAGCUGGAGCACGGUAGAGGCACAUGGAAUUCCGGGUGUAGCGGUGGAAUGCGUAGAGAUCCGGAAGAACACCGGUGGCGAAGGCGGUGUGCUGGGCCGUUGCUGACGCUGAGGCGCGACAGCGUGGGGAGCAAACAGG
rnacentral:rRNA from 1 species